rnacentral:sRNA from 1 species
AGAGCGCCAGGAAGACUCUGAGACCACAGAGCACGGCCUGCUUUCUCCCAGCCCCUGGUAAAGAUGUCCAGCCUGGGACCUCCCCCUGUAUAUAGUGCCUUAAGUGGGAGAGGACCACCACCCAGAUCAGGGGAGGACCUGUCCCCUGCAAUGCUGCUGCCUGCUUUCCAGAUUGACUUGGGAGUGCUUGUGCUGACGGAGCAUGUUCUGUGGUUUUUCUCUUUCUUCCCUCUGUUGUUGUGCCUUUUCCGUAGGUACCUGCACCAGUCAGGGGCCCUGACCAUGGAGGCCCUGGAGGACCCUUCCCCCGAGCUCAUGGAGGGCCCAGAGGAGGACAUUGCUGACAAGGUUGUCUUCCUGGAAAGGCGUGUGCUGGAGCUGGAAAAGGACACGGCAGCCACCGGUGAGCAACACAGCCGCCUGAGGCAGGAGAACCUGCAGCUGGUGCACAGAGCAAACGCCCUGGAGGAGCAGCUGAAGGAGCAGGAGCUGAGAGCCUGCGAGAUGGUCCUGGAAGAGACCCGGCGUCAGAAGGAGCUCCUGUGCAAGAUGGAGAGGGAGAAGAGCAUUGAGAUCGAGAACCUGCAGACCAGGCUACAGCAGCUGGACGAGGAGAACAGUGAACUCCGGUCCUGCACGCCCUGUCUGAAGGCUAACAUUGAGCGUCUG